UCCCUCCGUCCGGCCCCGGGACGUGGAGGAGUGGGACCUUGGAUUGUGACCUGCUGGCGAAAGGAUUGGUUAACCAACUAGGCCGAAGCAGGGAGGCCAGGUCGACGGAGCAGCCGCAGCCAGGCGCACCGGGCACGCCGCGCCGGGGCCCAAUCACAGGCGAGAGCACCCAGCCAACAAAAAAUAGGCGCCAAAUUCUGCGAGCCGCCGCGUCCUCCCGGCCUCUGCGGCCGACGGUGCACCGCAACCUCCUGCCUCCUCGGCUUCGCUGCGUGAAGUGGAGCUGCGCGCAGUAGGCCCCUAAUAAAUACUGAUUGGUUGAUUGGA